UACGAAGGGGGCUAGCGUUGCUCGGAAUCACUGGGCGUAAAGCGCACGUAGGCGGCUUUUAAGGCAGGGGUGAAAUCCUGGAGCUCAACUCCAGAACUGCCUUUGAUACUGAGAAGCUUGAGUCCGGGAGAGGUGAGUGGAACUGCGAGUGUAGAGGUGAAAUUCGUAGAUAUUCGCAAGAACACCAGUGGCGAAGGCGGCUCACUGGCCCGGUACUGACGCUGAGGUGCGAAAGCGUGGGGAGCAAACAGG
rnacentral:rRNA from 1 species